rnacentral:rRNA from 1 species
UACAGAGGGUGCGAGCGUUGUUCGGAAUACUGGGCGUAAAGCGCGCGCAGGCGGCCUUUUAAGUCUGACGGUGAAAUGCCGGGGCUCAACCCCGUGCCCGCCGCGGAUACUGGGAGGCUGGAGACACGUAGAGGCAAGCGGAAUUCCGGGUGUAGCGGUGGAAUGCGUAGAGAUCCGGAAGAACACCGGAGGCGAAGGCGGCUUGCUGGGCGUAGUCUGACGCUGAGGCGCGAAAGCGUGGGGAGCGAACAGG